rnacentral:lncRNA from 1 species
UUGCUGGACGUGAUGAAGAAUCUCAUCUGGGAUAAAUAAAAGCUCGAUUUUUUUAUCAGGGUUUUAAUGAGAGUCCUUUUCUUAAAUAAUAUAUAAAAAAAUUUAAUUAUAAAAAUAAUUCAAUCUUUAAUUUAUUUAUCGAUUUGAUGCAAAAACGAUAAAACGCCAUUCAAAAUGACGUUUUAUCUUCCACGUCACCCACCC